rnacentral:rRNA from 1 species
UACGGGGGGGGCAAGCGUUGUUCGGAAUUACUGGGCGUAAAGGGCGCGUAGGCGGCCUGCUAAGUCGGACGUGAAAUCCCCGGGCUCAACCUGGGAACUGCGUCCGAUACUGGAUGGCUUGAAUCCGGGAGAGGGAUGCAGAAUUCCAGGUGUAGCGGUGAAAUGCGUAGAUAUCUGGAGGAACACCGGUGGCGAAGGCGGC